GAGAUUGAUGAACUUGCAUUGAAGUUACAAGAAAUGUAUCAGCUACAUGAAAAUACUUUUAAGUGAACUACAAUCCCUGAAAUUAGAAAAUGAAGGUCUAUUACUACAAAGGCAAAACUAAAUGAAGAACUUCACUCUGUGAGGCAACGACUUUUAGAACGAGAGAAACAAAUGAAGGGCAUUGAAAAUGAGCUGAUUAAACUAAACAGGGCUGUACCUGAAAAUGAGAAUGACUUUGAGGACAAGAAAUCUUAUAUGAAGGAAGAAUUAAGUAAAGGAUCUUCAGAAUUUGGGAACCGAAUGGGUUCAUACAGGUCAAAUCCAUUAAGAGAGAAUAUCUCUGGUCAGAGGGCCACAAU